ensembl:lincRNA
CCCCGGUUCUUGAAGAACUCUCCAGAAAAGAGGGUGAGGGUCCUUGACAUUCAGAAAACAGGGAGAAUUGGCAGUAGUAUGGAAGGAAAUGUCCUUGGGUCCUGAGGAGAGUGACCCUGCCCUUUUUCUGACUUGCUUCAGACACCCUGGUCCCCACAUCACACCCUGGCAUCAGACACUGUCAUGCAGAUCUGGCCACAUGAGCUCAGCCUCUCCCUUCUGCUCCCUGGGACUGGCUCUCAAGCAACCUACACAGAAGCCCCGUUUCACAAUCUGUUUUCACAAAACACCGUGGAUCCCAUGUCUAUCUCUAACCCCAAAGAGCACCAACCAAUCACAGUCCAAGAAAAGCCAAUUGAUCGAGUCACCUGUCUGCCAGACCCGGCCAGUAGAACCCAGAAGCAAGAAGUCAGCCCAAAGUCGUCUGAGAGCUGGAGUAGCCAAGCUGAACCAGAACCGCAUGUAGAAUUGAGGCUUCCUGAAGCUCGAUUAGCAGAGGCUUUCCUCACCACCCCAGAGAAUGGAAAACCAGCGAAGAAGGUGGAGGUCCUCGUAUUGGGGUCACACACUGGUUCAAUGCAGAGCCUUUAACCCUCGUCACAAGCUCCACUCCUUUCUUCCCUAUUCCAGCAUCACUGAGAGAGAGGCGUGAGGUCCCCACCUAGUCCCCUUCUGUAUUAGCUGCUUUCCUGUCGCUGGGACAAAACAGCUAAUACCUGCAACUCACAGGAGGACAGGUUUAUUUUGGCUCAUAAUUUCAGUGGAUUCAGUCCAUGGUUGGUUGGUUCCAAUGUAGAAACACCAUGAUGGGAAGGGUUGGUAGAGGAAAACUGCUCAACCCAUGGCAUCCAGGAAGCAGAGAGAAGGAGGGGAGCCAGGAAGACAGAUAUACCCUCCAAAUGCAUGCCCCCAGUGGCACAACCUUUUCUAACCAGGCCCCUCCUUCUAACAGUGCUUUCAGCCAUGGUGUCCUGUGAUCCCCUCACCUUCCAUAAGCUCCAGCUCUGAACAUGUGAGAGUUUAUAUCUGAACCAUAAUUUCUAGGUUGGCAGCACAGGUGUGUGAGCUCUCGCUGGACCUGAUGACCGUUUCUUCUGAGGCUGGCUGGGCUCGUUGACAUAUAAAUGGCCACUGGGUCCUGAUGAAGUAGCUCUGACUAGGUCUCGGGAGACCCAAGGUGUCCAGCAUCUUCACCCCCCCAUAAUGAUGGCAACAACUGUCACAUCUACACACAAAACGUGCCCUGGCCUCUUGCACUCUUCAUGUCCACUGCAUCCUCUUGGAAGGAGGCCGCUCCUCUGUUGCCUUCAUCCAGUUCCCUCUGCACCUCCUGCUGGUCUGUUCUCCACAGAGGCACCCUUUCAUUUUUAACCUUUUUGCAGACCUGAGGAUCGAACCCCAGGCUUCAUGCACGCUAGAUAAAUGCCCUGCACAGAGGUACAUCCCCAGCCUGAACGUGAUCUUUUAAGAAUAUAGACAGACCAUGCCGGGCCACCUCUGGAAACCUCCUCCAGGCUCUCCAUUGCCCUGAGAUAUACGGUGUCCACAGCACCUGCUCCAGUCUCCGAUCUUAUCCUGAGUGGCUCCCUCCUGCACCCAUUACAUCCCAGGCACACUGGAUGCCUCAGUUCCUUAGAACCCAACAUGCUAGGCCCCCAAGGGUAGCAGCCACACAGCCCUGACCCCUCCCGUGGGGGCAGCCCCGCCUCUGCCAUUACAGGGUGCCUCGCUCUAAAAACUAUGAUGGAAUCCUGCCCCAAGUAAGAUCACCACUUUCCAGGACUGGUUUAGCUCUCUGGGCAUCUAGCCAGCCCUUAUUCUUCAGAUAUGGACAGAGGCCCAAGUGGGGGAAGGGGGUUACCUACCCCUUGACCUAAGUUUCGGGUAGAAACACCCUGGAUCUAAGUCUCGCCUCUCAGGAAGGGGCUCCUUAACUUUCCCAGGCUGCCUGGUCAGAUACCAGCCUGAAAAGCAGGCCUACAGUUUGUGCAAGGUUGGGGGAGUAAAACCCAGCCUAAGUUCUUCCCUCUGGGGCCCAGAGCUCUGGCUAUGCAGGCAAAUGUUCCCCACAUGCUGGUGCUCGACCCGGCCCUGGGGACCUGGCAGGCCUAGAGGCCUGGGUCUGAAUCACGCACUGUGAGACCCUCAGCCACACAGAGGCAACCAGCAGGCUCUAAGAUGUUGCUGGAGGAGGAAGAAGAGACCUAUAUGCCUCAAAGACCCCAAGGCUGGUGCAGGGGGUGGGGGUGGGACUGGACGCAUCAAACCAGGCAGUGGGGCCCAUGCAGACAGCUCGGGGGCUGUAGUCAAGCUUGAGCAGCUGGAGAGAAAAAGUUGCUAUCUAAACAACCCACAGAAUUAUUCCAUCUACUUCUGCCCUCUAAGGAGGUGACAUAAUUCAUAUCAAAGGCAUGAUGGAUCUUUACGUGGCUGUGGGGGCUGGUAGGGGAAGGAGUUGAAAGUAAUGAUUUGAUUGUGGUAAAGGAAAAGUCAUUUCAAAGCUGGUCCUGAGCGGGCUUCUGAGCAGGCAGAGUUGGCCCAGAGGCAGUGAGGUAGGGGUAGGGCUGGCCACCCCACUGGAGAAAGAGGGGAAGCUGAGCCUUCAGGAGGCAGACUGGCUCUCGGGACACAAGGAAGGAAACAACUGGUAUUUGACUUUAAGGAUUUUUUUUGUGUGUGUGUGCUAAAUGCAACUAGGUCUCCCAGUUCCAUGCAGGAAAGAAAAUGUUACCUACGCUUUAUGCCAGAGCUACUCUGCAGGGAUUGAGGGAAAGGCCUGUGUUUUACAUUUGUUUUGACACAAGACAAAAAGGAGAAAAUAGCCUCAGGAGGAGGGAGGAAUGGAGGAGGAGGGAGGGAGGGAGGGCAUCCAGCGACGCAGAGUUUCAGAGUGAGGAGGGAUGGGGAGCAAAUCCCCAGAGGUAUUACAGGAAACCCUGGGUUUCCCUCUCCUUUGGGUCGAGGGCUUGAGCCAUUUUCUCCUGUAUAUUAAAAGGUAUGGUGGCCCCAUAAAGCCAUAAGACUUGGGGUUACCCAAACAGCAGUCAUCUGGGUUUUAAUUCUGUAACUUCCUAGGGGUCAGGCAGAAGACAGAGAAGGACUCGGUGUGGAGCCUGAAGGAGGUCCAUCCUCUCAGAUUUUAAAGCCCGGUCUGCUCUGCUGAAGGCAGGUCCUUGGGUCACCUUAACCAAGGGGGCUGUAGACACCUCGUGGAUCCGA